UGAUUAAGCCAUGCGAGUCGAACGAGUUUAGGCUCGUGGCGUACGGCUCAGUAACACGUGGAUAACCUACCCUUAGGACUGGGAUAACCCUGGGAAACUGGGGAUAAUACUGGAUAGGCAAUUAUUCCUGUAAUGGUUUUUUGUUUAAAUGUUUUUUCGCCUAAGGAUGGGUCUGCGGCCGAUUAGGUAGUUGGUUAGGUAAUGGCUUACCAAGCCUUUGAUCGGUACGGGUUGUGAGAGCAAGAGCCCGGAGAUGGAACCUGAGACAAGGUUCCAGGCCCUACGGGGUGCAGCAGGCGCGAAACCUCCGCAAUGUGAGAAAUCGCGACGGGGGGAUCCCAAGUGCCAUUCUUAACGGGAUGGCUUUUCAUUAGUGUAAAGAGCUUUUGGAAUAAGAGCUGGGCAAGACCGGUGCCAGCCGCCGCGGUAACACCGGCAGCUCUAGUGGUAGCAGUUUUUAUUGGGCCUAAAGCGUCCGUAGCCGGUUUAAUAAGUCUCUGGUGAAAUCCUGCAGCUUAACUGUGGGAAUUGCUGGAGAUACUAUUAGACUUGAGAUCGGGAGAGGUUAGAGGUACUCCCAGGGUAGAGGUGAAAUUCUGUAAUCCUGGGAGGACCGCCUGUUGCGAAGGCGUCUGACUGGAACGAUUCUGACGGUGAGGGACGAAAGCUAGGGGCGCGAACCGGAUUAGAUACCCGGGUAGUCCUAGCUGUAAACGAUGCGGACUUGGUGUUGGGGUGGCUUUGAGCUGUCCCAGUGCCGAAGGGAAGCUGUUAAGUCCGCCGCCUGGGAAGUACGGUCGCAAGACUGAAACUUAAAGGAAUUGGCGGGGGAGCA
rnacentral:rRNA from 1 species